GACGAACGCUGGCGGCGUGCUUAACACAUGCAAGUCGAACGGAAAGGCCCGGCUUUUGUGGGGUGCUCGAGUGGCGAACGGGUGAGUAACACGUGAGUAACCUGCCCUUGACUUUGGGAUAACUUCAGGAAACUGGGGCUAAUACCGGAUAGGAGCUCCUGCUGCAUGGUGGGGGUUGGAAAGUUUCGGCGGUUGGGGAUGGACCCGCGGCUUAUCAGCUUGUUGGUGGGGUAGUGGCUUACCAAGGCUUUGACGGGUAGCCGGCCUGAGAGGGUGACCGGCCACAUUGGGACUGAGAUACGGACCAGACUCCUACGGGAGGCAGCAGUGGGGAAUCUUGCACAAUGGGCGGAAGCCUGAUGCAGCAACGCCGCGUGCGGGAUGACGGCCUUCGGGUUGUAAACCGCUGUCGCCUGUGACGAAGCGUGAGUGACGGUAAUGGGUAAAGAAGCACCGGCUAACUACGUG
rnacentral:rRNA from 1 species